rnacentral:rRNA from 1 species
GACGAACGCUGGCGGCGUGCUUAACACAUGCAAGUCGAGCGGAAAGGCCCUUCGGGGUCCUCGAGCGGCGAACGGGUGAGUAACACGUGAGUAACCUGCCCCAGGCUUUGGGAUAACCCCCGGAAACGGGGGCUAAUACCGGCUACGACACAGCUUCGCAUGGGGUCUGUGUGCAAAGGUUUUCGGUUUUGGAUGGGCUCGCGGCCUAUCAGCUUGUUGGUGGGGUGAUGGCCUCCGAAGGCGACGACUGCUAUCCCGCCUGGGAAGGCAGCCAGCCACACUAGGACUACGAGAGGCAGCAGUGUGGUACGGGAGGCAGUAGUGGGAAGUCUUGCACAGUGAGGGGACGUCUGAUGCAGAGACGCCGGGAGAGGGAUGACGUUCUUCUGGUGGUAAAGCUCAGAAAGUAGAGACGAAGCGUAUGUGACGGUACCUGCAGAAGAAGCGCCGGCCAACUACGUG